rnacentral:rRNA from 1 species
UUAAGCGACUAAGCGUACACGGUGGAUGCCCUGGCAGUCAGAGGCGAUGAAGGACGUGCUAAUCUGCGAAAAGCGUCGGUAAGGUGAUAUGAACCGUUAUAGCCGGCGAUGUCCGAAUGGGGAAACCCAGUGCAAUUCGUUGCACUAUCGUUAACUGAAUACAUAGGUUAACGAGGCGAACCGGGGGAACUGAAACAUCUAAGUACCCCGAGGAAAAGAAAUCAACCGAGAUUCCCCCAGUAGCGGCGAGCGAACGGGGAGCAGCCCAGAGUCUGAAUCAGCUUGUGUGUUAGUGGAACGGUCUGGAAAGUCCGACGGUACAGGGUGAUAGUCCCGUACACCAAAAUGCACAGGUUGUGAACUCGAAGAGUAGGGCGGGACACGUGGUAUCCUGUCUGAAUAUGGGGGGACCAUCCUCCAAGGCUAAAUACUCCUGACUGACCGAUAGUGAACCAGUACCGUGAGGGAAAGGCGAAAAGAACCCCGGCGAGGGGAGUGAAAAAGAACCUGAAACCGUGUACGUACAAGCAGUGGGAGCACCUUCGGGUGUGACUGCGUACCUUUUGUAUAAUGGGUCAGCGACUUAUAUUCUGUAGCAAGGUUAACCAUAUAGGGGAGCCGCAGGGAAACCGAGUCUUAACUGGGCGUUAAGUUGCAGGGUAUAGACCCGAAACCCGGUGAUCUAGCCAUGGGCAGGUUGAAGGUUGGGUAACACUAACUGGAGGACCGAACCGACUAAUGUUGAAAAAUUAGCGGAUGACUUGUGGCUGGGGGUGAAAGGCCAAUCAAACCGGGAGAUAGCUGGUUCUCCCCGAAAGCUAUUUAGGUAGCGCCUCGUGAAUUCAUCUUCGGGGGUAGAGCACUGUUUCGGCUAGGGGGUCAUCCCGACUUACCAACCCGAUGCAAACUACGAAUACCGAAGAAUGUUAUCACGGGAGACACACGGCGGGUGCUAACGUCCGUCGUGAAGAGGGAAACAACCCAGACCGCCAGCUAAGGUCCCAAAGUCAUGGUUAAGUGGGAAACGAUGUGGGAAGGCACAGACAGCCAGGAUGUUGGCUUAGAAGCAGCCAUCAUUUAAAGAAAGCGUAAUAGCUCACUGGUCGAGUCGGCCUGCGCGGAAGAUGUAACGGGGCUAAACCAUGCACCGAAGCUGCGGCAGCGACACUAUGUGUUGUUGGGUAGGGGAGCGUUCUGUAAGCCUGCGAAGGUGACCUGUGAGGGUUGCUGGAGGUAUCAGAAGUGCGAAUGCUGACAUAAGUAACGAUAAAGCGGGUGAAAAGCCCGCUCGCCGGAAGACCAAGGGUUCCUGUCCAACGUUAAUCGGGGCAGGGUGAGUCGACCCCUAAGGCGAGGCCGAAAGGCGUAGUCGAUGGGAAACAGGUUAAUAUUCCUGUACUUGGUGUUACUGCGAAGGGGGGACGGAGAAGGCUAUGUUAGCCGGGCGACGGUUGUCCCGGUUUAAGCAUGUAGGCUGGUUAUCCAGGCAAAUCCGGAUAAUCAAGGCUGAGGUGUGAUGACGAGGCACUACGGUGCUGAAGUAACAAAUGCCCUGCUUCCAGGAAAAGCCUCUAAGCAUCAGGUAACAUCAAAUCGUACCCCAAACCGACACAGGUGGUCAGGUAGAGAAUACCAAGGCGCUUGAGAGAACUCGGGUGAAGGAACUAGGCAAAAUGGUGCCGUAACUUCGGGAGAAGGCACGCUGGUGUGUAGGUGAAGCCCCUGCGGGUGGAGCUGAGACCAGUCGAAGAUACCAGCUGGCUGCAACUGUUUAUUAAAAACACAGCACUGUGCAAACACGAAAGUGGACGUAUACGGUGUGACGCCUGCCCGGUGCCGGAAGGUUAAUUGAUGGGGUUAUCCGUAAGGAGAAGCUCUUGAUCGAAGCCCCGGUAAACGGCGGCCGUAACUAUAACGGUCCUAAGGUAGCGAAAUUCCUUGUCGGGUAAGUUCCGACCUGCACGAAUGGCGUAAUGAUGGCCAGGCUGUCUCCACCCGAGACUCAGUGAAAUUGAACUCGCUGUGAAGAUGCAGUGUACCCGCGGCAAGACGGAAAGACCCCGUGAACCUUUACUAUAGCUUGACACUGAACAUUGAGCCUUGAUGUGUAGGAUAGGUGGGAGGCUUUGAAGCGUGGACGCCAGUCUGCGUGGAGCCAACCUUGAAAUACCACCCUUUAAUGUUUGAUGUUCUAACGUUGGCCCCUGACCGGGGUUGCGGACAGUGUCUGGUGGGUAGUUUGACUGGGGCGGUCUCCUCCCAAAGCGUAACGGAGGAGCACGAAGGUUAGCUAAUCCUGGUCGGACAUCAGGAGGUUAGUGCAAUGGCAUAAGCUAGCUUGACUGCGAGCGUGACGGCGCGAGCAGGUGCGAAAGCAGGUCAUAGUGAUCCGGUGGUUCUGAAUGGAAGGGCCAUCGCUCAACGGAUAAAAGGUACUCCGGGGAUAACAGGCUGAUACCGCCCAAGAGUUCAUAUCGACGGCGGUGUUUGGCACCUCGAUGUCGGCUCAUCACAUCCUGGGGCUGAAGUAGGUCCCAAGGGUAUGGCUGUUCGCCAUUUAAAGUGGUACGCGAGCUGGGUUUAGAACGUCGUGAGACAGUUCGGUCCCUAUCUGCCGUGGGCGCUGGAGAAUUGAGGGGGGCUGCUCCUAGUACGAGAGGACCGGAGUGGACGCAUCACUGGUGUUCGGGUUGUCAUGCCAAUGGCACUGCCCGGUAGCUAAAUGCGGAAGAGAUAAGUGCUGAAAGCAUCUAAGCACGAAACUUGCCCCGAGAUGAGUUCUCCCUGAGACUUUAAGUCUCCUGAAGGAACGUUGAAGACGACGACGUUGAUAGGCCGGGUGUGUAAGCGCAGCGAUGCGUUGAGCUAACCGGUACUAAUGAACCGUGAGGCUUAACCUU